rnacentral:rRNA from 1 species
AUGGGGUCGUUCAAGGGGCACGUGCUGCCGGGGACGCUGUUCCUGGCGGUGGGCGCGUGGCACGUCUGGGCGGCCGUGGCGCGCUUCGCCAUGGACCCGGCCGGGUUCCGCCUCCGCGUCUGGAACCCGGUGGGCGCGGGCGGCGGGGCGCUGCGGCACCUGGAGCUCUACGUCAUCGCCGGGGGCGCCUUCCUGGACAUGUGCGUGGAGGUGCUCUACUCCACCCACCUCCACAUAUUCGCGCCCGGCGGCGGGGUCAACCCGGCGCACCUCAACGACCUCGAGCACGGCGGCAUGCUGCUCAUGUUCUUCCUCGUCGGCGCCCUCGCCCUCCUCUCCGAAAACACCAGGUACCUGCCCCUGACGGAGGGUGCGCUGUGCCUGCUGGCGGCGACGGCCUACACGGCAGAGCUGCUGCUCUUCUACUUCCACUCGACCACGCACCAGGGGCUGGAGGGGUACUACCACUACCUCCUGGUGGUGCUCGUCGGGCUCUGCGUCGCCUCCGCCGUCCUCGGCGCGCUCCUCCCGGCGAGCUUCCCCGCCGACCUCGCCAGCGGCCUGCUCAUCACCCUGCAGGGCCUGUGGUUCUACCAGACGGCGUUCACGCUCUACGGGCCGAUGCUCCCCGAGGGGUGCCACCGCGACGCCGGCGGGGACAUCGAUUGCCACGGGCACGCCGCCGGGGAGCGCGCGGAGCAGCUCGCCGACUUCCAGCUCUUCGCCUACGUCUUCCUCGUGUUCGCCUACGCCCUCGGCUGCUACGCCGUCGCCGCCGCCAGGUACGGCCACCCGGACCUGAGGGCCGUCGAGAUGGAGGAGCACCGGGAAAAUGGUGGAUUCGUUGGCAGCUCGGCGCUGGCUAGUGGCAUAUGA